AUUGAACGCUGGCGGCAGGCCUAACACAUGCAAGUCGAGCGGAUGAAGGGAGCUUGCUCCUGGAUUCAGCGGCGGACGGGUGAGUAAUGCCUAGGAAUCUGCCUGGUAGUGGGGGAUAACGUCCGGAAACGGGCGCUAAUACCGCAUACGUCCUGAGGGAGAAAGUGGGGGAUCUUCGGACCUCACGCUAUCAGAUGAGCCUAGGUCGGAUUAGCUAGUUGGUGGGGUAAAGGCCUACCAAGGCGACGAUCCGUAACUGGUCUGAGAGGAUGAUCAGUCACACUGGAACUGAGACACGGUCCAGACUCCUACGGGGGGCAGCAGUGGGGAAUAUUGGACAAUGGGCGAAUGCCUGAUCCAGCCAUGCCGCGUGUGUGAAGAAGGUCUUCGGAUUGUAAAGCACUUUAAGUUGGGAGGAAGGGCAGUAAGUUAAUACCUUGCUGUUUUGACGUUACCAACAGAAUAAGCACCGGCUAACUUCGUG
rnacentral:rRNA from 1 species